GAUCUUAACAUUCAGUCUAAUUGGAGGGCACACUGCAGAAGAGGCCGUAAGAAGGAUGUUGCAGAGUGGCCUAACAAAUAACCUGGCGUGUCGCUUCAACUGGGCAGGGAAAGGCUUCAAGGAAGCCUUUAAAAGCACUGUCCUUAGUGAUGUACUGUUCGCUGCACUCCAAAAACAGCUGCCAGGGACCACCCAUAUUGUUUUUUCAGGGACACUGAAGAAGUGGCUUAAAUAUGCACCGGAGAGAGAGGGAGGUGGAGGGAGGCGAACAAAUGAACGCGAUCAGGCGCCGCAGGAUCCUCGACCAUGAAUGAAUGUGUGUGUGUAAACAAUAAUUAUCAUAUCAUUAUUAUAUCGUUAGAAUAAUAGGGUUAAUUGGGUUUGGGUUGUUCGUGUUCGGUUAUCACGUUGUAUUGUUCAUUAUUGUCGCCACCGUUGUUGUGUCAUGUUUGUUUGUUGGGUGCUCUAUGUGAGAGGAUUUUAAUAAAAGUAGUCUGCGUCGAGGGGUGUACGGGGC
ensembl:lncRNA